GUGUUUGCUUCAGCAGCACAUAUACUAAAAUUGGAACCAUACAGAGAUGAUUAGCAUGGCUCCUGCGCAAGGAUGACAUACAUGCAAACUAACCAAACUCACCCUUU